GCGGGGAGCUCGGUCCCGCUCGGCGCGGAGCAGCCAUGGGCUCGGCGGCACAGCUCCCGCCGCCGCCGCCGCCGCCGCUCGGGGAAUGCGAGCGGGAAGGGGGGGCGGCGGCCGCCCGGCACCGGCGGCGCCCGGAGGAGCAGUUCUGGACAUACUCUGGAAAUAAUUCAACCAGAUCCCCUCCCUGAAGUUAGAGGCAUCUCAUUCCAUUGUGGUUGCCCUGACAAACACAGACAGGUCCACCAAGAUCAAAGGAGCCACACCACGGAACCUGUGAUAGAUGACUAUAAAAAGAUGGGGACUCUCUUUGGAGAACUAAACAAAAGCCUUAUCAGAAUAGGCUUUACAAGGAUGUACUUUGGAGAACGGAU